UUCCUGGAAUCAUUUCGACUC
rnacentral:miRNA from 1 species